UGCCGCCGUCACCACCAGCGCCCGACUCCGAGCUCCUCCUCCCGUGCGCCUCCUCCCUGGCCUCCCUCGCGCGUCGUCCGGCGACCGGCGCCGCCGCCGCCGACCACCCAGGUCACGCCGCCGCUUCCAUGCCUUUUCUCUCUCUAAUCUUCUUGUCUCUCCUCUCCAGGAGCUCAGCGCCAGCGCCAUGGAUGUCCAGUCCUCGAGCUCUCCUCGGAGGUUCGAACGCCGCCACGGGACCUCCACCAGCCAGAUCCGGCGCCUACCUCCCGGAUCCGCGCUCCCUCCACCUCCUCUACCCGAUCCGGCGCCGCCGAACCCGCCAUGACCUCCACCAUGGAGUUCCUAUAGCUCGUCCCCUGCCUCCUCGUCCUGUGCUAGAGGGAGACGCCCCUCCAGCGCAUCCAGGACAAGGCCCACCACCAGCCGGUCGUUGUUGCACUCGCCGGCGACCUCACCCUCCCCUCUGCACUGCCCUCCACCUCAACUAAUGCUUCUCAUCAUCAGGGAUAGAUUUAGCUGGUCAUAGAUUGUGGAUGUUCUCUGUUAAUUUUUGCACACAAGGUGUUUGUGUGUUUGUCCAAGCCAAUGUUCAUGAGCUUUAUCUUUUUUAUAAAUGACAUGGCUGAGAAAGUCCCUUCAAUGAAAGGAGGAGGAGUAUAGUCUUGGCCAUGGCUGGGAAGGAAGGAUAACAUGCCUUCAUGCUGGACAGAGGAGGAGAAGAAGGGGGGCACGUAGAAGGUGCCGGUGGAGCGCGCCGUCGAGAUCGUUGAUGACAGCGACACGGGCGAGGCCGGGGAGGAGGUCAUGGUUGAUGCUUUACUGCCUGAAUAUGUUGACCGGGAACAAGAGGGUAAGGUGGAUGUGAGGGCGGAGGCGCAUGCCAUGGUGCAGGAUGUUGUGGAAGCCUAAUUAUUUGAGGAAGUGACAGCCACUGGGAGCAUGGAUCGACAGACUAGACAGCAGACCAAGUCCAUUGAUCGGCUGAUUCAACAACGAAGGAAGAGGCAGAAGGUUAUAAAAACGAGCUUGGGGAUUUACUGACCUGAAUCUUAAACAGGGCCGCCCUGCUGGUGGACUCAAGCUCCAGAUAUGCAAAGUCAUAGUCCUGCAUGUAUGGACAUCUACUGAUACAUACAAGCCGAUCGACGGGCACACACAUUAGUAAGUUCUGCUACUAGCCUAAUCAAGAGCCUUUUAUACAACCCCGCAAAAAAAGAAGCCUUUUAUACAGCCUUGCAGAUUAAAAAUGAAUUGAAUUAUGAGCAUCUGACAACUACGAUCAAUUUCCUGGUUAUACUUCCUGAAAUAAAGGUGGCCGACCAAAUGAAAGGAUGGAUGCUUUCCUUUAUGUGAGAUUAUAUACAUUAUCUUACUUGAUCUGCAAUGUUUCUUUGGAAAUUUUUUUGAAAGACACAUGACACAUAGUUUGCUGGAUAGGUCUAAGAUAAAUAUUUCAGUUAUAGGAGGAUAUUUUUAAAUGGGUAAUACUAUUACCGCCAUCUGCUUGGCCUGUUGUGCUUUCGGUAGAGCUUUCAUAUUUCAACACAAAAAAAUAACAAUGCAAGUUGGGACCAGAAUAGCACACACAUCCUCAAAGGAAACGUCCAGUUGGGACCAGAAUAGCACACACAUCCUCAAAGGAAACGUCAGUUGGGAGUGCUCAAGUAUUCAGUUUCUUGGAUGAUGUAUUAUGUUCUCGCUUAUCAUGUACUCCCUUUGUAAACAAAUAUAAGACCUUUUAUAUAGAUAACUAAAGUAGUGAUCUAACAGGUCCUAUAUUUGUUAGAGGGAGUAUGUUUCUAGAUAUCCGUCAACUCCAAUGUUUCAUUUAUCUACUCUCUGAAUAUGAAGAAGAUAGGCUUGCAAAGUAGCUUUUUAUGUGAAUAAUGUGACAAACAUUUAUGUCUUAUAACUGCAAACAUUUUUUUGUUUAGUCCGUCACCGAGCAAAUGUUUGGGAGUUGGAAAUUAUUUGGAUACACAUGAUCUUAGCAAAGAAAGAUUCAAACAUACUACAACCAAAGGACCUCCUUCACUCUCUGUGCAACUACAGAAAUUAUCCUUAUGAGCAGCACCCUAGGUUUAGUUGUGGGUUCUAACAUAUUAGAGAUGUGGUUAGAAUACCUACUGCUCUGAACAAUUAAGUGGUUUGUAUAAACCACCGAUCCCCUCGUGCAGUGUACAAUGUGAUAUGGAUCAUCAUAGGAUCAAACUUAAUACAGGAAGUACACACUUAAUUGUUUCUGAACUAUACUACUUUUUAUGUUCAUUCUCCUGUCCUUUUAAAUCUCUAAUUUAGUUGCAAGUAUUUUAUUUGUUAUCGUUUGGCUUCUUAAGAACAAAUCUAGCAAGUUUGGCUUCUUAAGAACAAAUCUAGCAAGCAACGACUCGACUGAUGAAAGAGAUGUUGACCAUCUUUGCUGCAGCGAGGUACCUUCUUGAUCAUGUUACUAAUCUGUAUCUACAUUAUUCAGAUGUGAAACUCAUGCUUCUUGAAACAUCUGCAACACAUAUGUGCACUCUGAAAUGGUAAAAUAUUUGCAUUCUAUAGUACUUCAAGUUUGUGUAGCAUCCCCAUAUUUCCUGCGACCCAGUUCCUUGAACUGGCUAACCCUUAUUGAUGUCAUAUGUCCUGAACUGACUCUCAUGACCAAGUUCCUCAACACGUCCGCCCCUCACAGGCAUGUUGUGCAGUGGCUCAAUUCAUCGCAUUAUGAUUGAACACAUUUGGACACAUUAGGAUUAGGUGAACACUGAACACUGCCAACAUCGGUGAGGGUGGUCAGGAAGAAAAGCCAAAACCACCAGACGAAGGGGCGCUGGUCUCUGGUUCUUUGCGAAGGCCACCGCAGCUCAUCUCCAAGACCUCUGCUGUCGUGUGUCCCCCAAGUUCUUCACCGAAUCUCCUCGCCCGCUGGCUGCUGCUCUUCUUCUCCCUCGAACACAUCUCUGCUUCUGAUCCUCUGCUGCCGCCCCUAACCUGCUGCUUCUGCUCUCUGAUGCUGCCCUCGACUGCUGUACCGCUCCUUCUCCAACGAACUGUUGUUCCUAAUCUUCUCUGAACCCAAACUGUUGCUGCUCCGCUUCCUCUCUGAACCUCAGUCUGCUGCUGCUUCUCUGAUUCAGAGUAAACCAAUAAGCAGGAAUUCUAGGUCGUUUUUCCUUUGGUAACAGUUAUUGUUAGUUCUAAACAAUUUUUCAGGGCCACGAUUAGGCUUCCAAGGGUUCAGAAAAUGAUGAAGAAGCCUUUUAUAUCACACACUAUAUAACAUCAUGGAAUCACAAACUUAUAACAACUAAUUUAAGAGGCUAUGUUCUGGUUUGCUGUAUCUCCACCAGUUUGGGUUGGUCUGAUAGCUAACCUAAACUGAAUAGGGAAUCAGGAGUACUUUAGUUGGUAUUGAAAGUGGUAUGUUUACUUUCAAGCUGAAAAUCUUUGCAAGUUUGGUCCUGGGAUAUUUAAUGCUCCCUUUUCUUAUUAUCUUCCAAUCAUACUAUACAUAUUUAGUUUUUUUUACUUUCUCUUGACAAGUGAACUGAAUUAUUCAUGGAGAAUCUGGUUAUGGUAAAUUUUAUUAUGGAGAUUCAUCCGAUGUAAUAGAAUAGCUUUAUUUGCUAAAAUCAAUACAUAACUAUAGUGUUGUAUGGUUACAACAUGUAGAGUUUUGCAAGUGAGAGUUACAGGAAGUCACUAUUGCAAGAUGGCAUUCAAUUAACACACGUACAAUCGACUGAUCACUGUAUCUUUUUUUGCUAAUUUAAUUUGAAAAAGCUAUUGCAAACAAUUUUUUCUUCUGAAAUCAUAUACUCUGUUUAUUUCUAAUGUGAUUUUGUUACUGUUUGUAUGGUAUUUCUCUGUCUAAAUUUUUUGUUACAUAAAUCAAUCUGCAUAUAUGUGUGCAGGCUGUGAAUCGACAAACAGCCCAGAAAAUAUGGCAUGCUACAUACCCUUGGAGGAAUCUCAAGACUUAGGAAUGGUGCCCCGACAAUUGUGAGCGGCACAAAGGAAGGGCCGCCAUCACCAAGGAAGUACGCUGACAAUUGUGGACUCCAAAGAGAAACAAGCUCUAUAUUUAGUGCAUUGAGUUGCUAUUUUAAAUUCUGAGAGGUGUUGAAUUUUGUCGAUUUCUAAGACAUUAACUCGGAAGAAUUAUUAUUUUGCUUGAUGUAAACUCAGAUUAAUUUGUCAUGUCAUUUGAACCGAACAACCUUUUUGUGACAUCACUUCAUGAUUUUUGUGGGAUAUUUUUUUUACAGG